AGGAUAUUAGCCCUCUUUUGAGUGGUGAAAAAUUGAGUUUUGGUAAGUGAAAAACAUUCAUGGAGCUAUUAUGAGUUUUCAUGGUGUUCUUCAAUGUUCUUGAAGUUCUUGCCAAGAACAUAAAGUUUUGAAGUUUUGAUUCAAAAGUUUUAUGUUUUUCAUAAAGUUUUGGUUUAUUAUUUGAUGGUUGAUGGUUAUAGGUGAGAUGUGAUGAAAUGUUUUAAUGUUUGUCAUAGAUUUUAAUUUUUUCUUACAAACCAUCACUUUCACCCUUUUCCUCACCCACCAAAAUCAACUUGCAAAAACUUUUUAGAAAAUUUUUCAUAACUUCUUCCAAUGGCCGGCCACCCCAAGUGGGGUUACUUUUGGGGCCUUUUGUGCAAUUACAUAAAGUUUGAGAUACUUUUGUGUAUUUGCAUUUUGGCCCAAAAGUUUACGUUUUUACGUUAAGGCCCAAAAACUCUAAAGGACAAAUUGUUUUGAUCCUUUAAUGAUGCUUUUACAUUAUUAAAAUUUUGGGAUCUAGUUGUAAUUACAUGAAGUUGUGGACUAUUGUGUUUUUACAAAGUGACCCCAAAGUUUUUGUAUUUGCAUUAUGGCCCAAUUGUUGUGGUCAUAGUUUCCUUUUGGCCCAAAUAAAAUGAGAACAAAAUGGUUUUGUCUCUUUAAUGAGAAUUGGAUUUUCAUUUCAUUUAGUUCCAUUUAAAUCAAUUCUAUGGAUCCAAAAACCAAUUGUUUAAAGUUGUUUUCUUAGUUAAUGUGAUUGAUUAAGAAAAGGGUGAUUAUGAACCAAUGGCCACGAUAAUUGAGCUAUGUGAUUGGCCGAUUUACAUUAUGAAUGUUUGGGUUUUAGUAGUGUAGAUUUGAAUGUAAUUUGAUUAAUUCAAUUUGUUGUAAAUGGACAUAAGUCCAUCAUUUGAUUUGUGUUGUAAAAGGGCAUAAGCCAUUCUUAUUAUUUCAUGUAUUCCUUUUGUUUAUAUGUAUGCAAAAUGGAAUAGUUGGGUCCAA
rnacentral:lncRNA from 1 species